CACACAGGAGCCGAUUGUCAUGUGUGCUUCCUCACAGGGCUAUUUUGGUCAUUUCAAUGCUUCAGAUCAGGGAUAUUAUGGUAAUUUCAACUGUUUAUUCUUGCUGGCUUCUUCAUACUAAUACACGUGUCUCCAUUGUUUCAACAACUAUUCAUUCUCAAUUGUUCUUUUCCCUUACCAAGCAUAUCGACAUUUUCUGAAGAAUUAUUUUCGAGUUUCAGGUUCGUCUCUUCUCAUUAUGUGCUUGAUUAUGAUUCCUUUAAUUUCAAUUUUAGCUUAUUCAGUGGAAUGCUUGUUUUUGUGCGAAUUGGGGGUGAAAAAUUUGUGGCUCAUUCUUUAUUUUCUCGGUUUCUCUUUCAAAUCAUGGGGUUUAUUUUACUUGUACUUGCGAUUUUAUUGUUUGAAUGUCCAAAUAAUUUAGGGGAAAUAAGUUGUGACGUAUUUUUUGGAUUAACUGUUUUAUUCUUUGGUGUAUCUUUUGCUCCCUAUCUGUUUGUGAUAAUUCUCCAUCGAAGCUGCUUGUUUGGAUUCUAAGUUUAGGCUGUAGUCUUCUGAUUUUUCCCAGCUAAUUGGAGUAUAUUGAUGGUCGUUAGGUGCUAAAGUUGAAUAGGUACAGUGUAAGCUAUCGUUGGUUAGGCCCACUGUUAUAGCAGUGCAUGUUUACAGUGGUUUGAAAAAUAAACUUUUCCAAAAGGACGAACUGGAUGUUUACUUGGGGCUUCAGAAAUAGUUGAGAAAGUAAGUUUGUAAUGUCAUCGAGACGUUAACAUUCUAAGUAGCGUAUGCUUACUGUUUUCUUGCCUCUUCUCAUAUUACAUUACCACACUAUUUUUAGCAUUUUGAGUUUCAUAACUAAUGAGUUGAUCAAUAAAUAAGGUUGUCUUGAUAAGUGUUUUGUCCAUGUUAGAAAUCCCUCAAAGUUUGAAUCUUUAACUGUGAUUGUUGAUUUAUUGUUAUGGUUUAGCUUAUGUGUUUUGUCCAUGUUAGAACCAAUUCAUGUACUACUCAUCUUCAGCUUUUUGUACGUGACACUUUUCAAACGCUUCUAAUCGUGUAGAUUUAUUUGAAAAAUGAAGAAACAGAUUCGCAACAUCUUCCUUUGUUGAGUAAUCUGCUCUCCAAUUUGAUUUGGAAUUGUCUUUAUAAUUCAGUAGUGAAUCUAUAAUGUUGAUUACGAGUCUAUUUAAAUCUUUGCUUUAACUAUGAAUUUAUUUUAACCAUUUCUUGCACUUCUGUACACAUGAAUUCUUAUACUUUAAGCUCUAUUUAAAUCUCCCUUUUUCAAGAUCGAAAAUCGUCAUCGAUGUUAACUUAGUUGUUACACCAAAAUCAGCCAUAAAUGGCAAUCCUUUCAACGAUGUCUUCUUUAAGUUAAUAUAUCUCUUAAUGUACCAUUCGGAUUGACGAUCUUCUGGUUUUGUUGGACAAUGAAGUCAAAGAGCUUAAUUCUACUGAACUUUCAUAGGUCAGUAAAGUUUAGAAUAUGUACUGACAUAGUAUAUUUGAUGUCUUUCCUUACAAAUAUAGGUUUCGACCCCAUUACUAUCUGAAGCUCGCUGUUCUGGUUAAAUUUGUGAAUGCUUAUUUGACAAAUGAUUGGAUGCUUGGAGUUGCCUUUCGUACUAGGUAUGCAUUAUCUGAAAGCGUAAUAGUACUUUAUUUGACAGUUUCAACGAUUCCCCUCUAUUUGCUUUCACAUUCGAUUUGCCGUUUUCUGCUUCUCUCCCUUGUGACUUCUGUAAUUUCUUCUAAAUAGUCUACUCACUCAAGACUUAGCUGGAAUUCAACCAGUUGAGAUUCCCUCUGUUGAGAAUGUAAGUUCGAUGUUACCAUUUCUUUCUGUAUCGCAGUUUUUUCCAUUUACUUGAACUUUAAUUUCUUUACAGGUUGAUGUAACUGAAUUCAUUGAGGGCCAUUACUUAUUAUCCUGUAUUUGGUCAUCGUGCUAUAAAAACAUAGAUCUUACAGUUCUUAUUUUAGAAAUAUUGCUUCUCUUAUUCUGAGUGCAUAGGUAGACCACAGAUUUAUCAAUUGUAAAGCUUCUGUAGUGUGAAUAAGCUUAUGAAACAAGAAUAUGCUUCUUUUAUGAGAAGUAGGCUAGCUAAAUUUUGCUUCCUGCUUUUGUUUCCAAAGAGAAUAUAGUUAGGGGAUAUCAUGUAGUCAUUUGGAAUUUAUCAUCACAAUAGUUUGGGGAUGACUGAAGGAGAGCCUUGGUAAAGUUGCUAUCAUGAAAUUAGGAGGUCAUGGGUUCAAGCCGUGAAAAUAGCCCCUCGUAGAAAUGUAAGUUGAGCUUGUGUACUAUAGACUUGUGCUCUGGCCCUUCUGCGGACGCAACUUGGUUUAAUUGUAUUUGUUAUAAUUCAAAACUGGACAUAUUAGCUUAGAGGGAAGAGAAAGUCAAGACAACCACAAACAUAGCAUGAGUACUGCUCAUUUGGGAAAUGUUGGAAGAUAUGUGAACUUUUUCUUACAUUGAUUAAGACGCGAGUUUCGACAUGGUACCUUAUAUGUCAAUAAAUUGUGUACCUAAGGGCAUUUUUGACUUUUUAUAAGGUUUCUUGUGCAACGUGUCUUUCAACAUGUGCACCUAUAUAGCCACGUAUCCUUUUUUGCUUCCUUUUAGAUAUAUUUCAUUCUUUCUCUUUGUCCGUCUAUAUUUGUUAUCUGAUAUUUUCUUACAUGAAAUCCACCAUUACCUCCAACGCAGAUUGAAAGUGAACAAAUUUUAUCAUAAAAUAUAGCAUGUUCCAAAAGCUUACAUGCACUUAAAAUUCAUAACGGCUGCUUUUCUACUUAUCUAUAUAAUGUCUAGCUUAGAUAUAUUUUGUUCUUUUAUGUCUUUGAUAUUUUAAUUAUUCGAAAUAUCUGUAUAUUAAAGCAAUUUUUGUGACUUUCCCUUGAAUUUUUUGCAGAUACUCUUCACCAAAUGUGACCGAGAGAAUUGACAAAGCAAUGCUUGGCUACUAGCAAAUUUAGCUGGUUCAAGUGUGAUAUAUCUGAGAUGAACUUGACUCUCUUAGCUCUACAAUUUUUUAAGAGUCCUUAGAAGGUGAGGAGUAACAAAUCUUACGCCAUGAAAGCAGAAAGCAAAAACAACAAAUAAAUGAAGAAAUUGAGUAUGGUGCCUCAUAAUAUCAAUUUGAUAGAUUUCAUAGUAGUAAGUACUUACAUUAGAGAUGGUUUGUGUAUGCAGAAGUAUAAUAAUAAAGUAACAGUUUUUUGUCAAAAUGACUUAGCAUGGAAUAGUCACCUUCUACCUUUUGAAUUUUAGUCAAUAGAAUAAGUUGUUUUCCCCCUCAAGAAGCUGAAGCAAUGUGAGAGACCCAGAAAAGCAAAAUAGGUAUUUUAGCGUCUUAAGUUGUAAAUUUUUGUUAGUGAACUGGAACAUUUUAUAGUUUGACAUUGUGAAUGAAAACAACAGAUGUAAAUUCUUUGCAGGACUUAAAGCUGGAAAAAAUUUCACCAUUCUUUAACCAUCUUUUUAUUCAAGUGAUGGUUUACUUUCACAUCUGGACUUUCAAUGUGAAAAAUAUAAAGAAGCUUAAACGCAUAAAUAAUACUCUCUAUUAUAUUGCUGCCUCCAGAAUGUAUAACUAAGGCCAAGGUACCUGCUCCUCUACUGCAAGUAAUAGAACAUGUUUUUCUUGCCGAUAAAAGCUAAAACACAUGUUCUUUGUUCUCUGUAUGCAUCUCCUCUUACGUAUUACCGUAAUUGUUGGCUGCUUUUUCAUACAGCUAUUCUGCUUUAUUUUUACGAGGGAUUUCGGACUUUUAAUUCACUCAAACUGUUUCUGUGUGGUUUCUUGGAAGAUACAUACUUGGACGCAUAAAAAUGUCAUCUUGCUUGGUUUUCAACUUUUAAUUGUAAUAGGCGAUGUUUCGAAAUUUAUUCUCCUAGUAGAAUCCCUAUUUCUUCCUACGUUUCAAAAUCUUAAGAUGUUAUGAAUGGGCCGAAAGUAGUUAUGGUAAAGCAACCCAAUACCAUAUUAAGUGGCUAUGUGUAGGAUAUGAGUUAAUAAAUAGAAUAUUUUAGUAAGAAUAGAUUUAUGAAAAUUGUGAUAAUUGCUGAGGCAAAGCUAUGCUUCUUAUCCCCAAUUCUCUCUAAUCUUCUUCUUCAUAUUGUAAUUUCUUCUUCCUGUAUUAAUCAAAGUUAAUUAGUUUCGUUCAGUUUGUGUAUUGAUUGUUGAGUUGAUAAUUCGAGAUCGUUACAUUGGUGCUUUCAUCUAGAGGUCUCUCAAAUGGAGGACUAAAAAGUACUCAAGGCAUUUGUUGAUGAUCCAGUUCGUGAUUCAAUCAAACAAAUGAAGGAUUCUAUCUCUAAAGAUCUCGUUGAAUUUAGGUUGAUGUUGCUGGGCGUUUUGGGUAAAAAUCCCACGACCACUUUUGAACCCCCAAAAAACAGUUAUGGACGUCAAAUUAGGGAAGUUUCGUGGCGAGAAUUCGGAGGCCUGGAUAGUUCAAGCAGAGCAUUAUUUCACUUUCUAUAAAAUUAAGGAAGAUCCAAAGCUCACCGUGGCUUCGUUCUAUUUUGAUGGUGAAGCAUUGGAGUGGUACCAGUGGUUAUUAAGGAAUAAUCAAUUAAUUGAUUGGCCAUAUUUCGCUGAUAAGGUAAGAAUUCGAUUUAAACAAAAAGGAUUGGAGUUUGCGGGAGGGAGAUUCGCAAAUCUCAGGCAUGUAGCUUCCGUGAUUGAGAACCAAAGUCGUUUUGAGGCUAGCUCAUCGGGCUUUGGCAAAUUGGAUGCACACAAGGUGUUUGAUGAAAAGCCGGACAGGAAAACUGAAAAUGUUGUGGAUAUUGAAACAUUUCUUCAAACACCGGAUGCUAUGAAACAAAAGGGUGAAUAUGAGGAUACAUCAUUACAAGUUAAAACUGAGGGGGCUAAAAAUUUGCUAAAUCAAGCAAAACAGGAGAUCCACAAUUUAGAGGAGAUAGCCAAUUUAGAUUUGCAUGACAAAGAAGAGGAUCCCUUGCCUCUUGAUCUUGUUGUUGCAGAUACAAAUGUUCGAAGAGGCGAAUCAUUGCAGAGCACAGAAACAGGUGCUCAGGUUAUAGUAAACGAAGCAUAGCUUUGCCUAAGCAAUUAUCACAAUUUUCAUAAAUCUAUUCUUACUAAAAUGUUCUAUUUAUUAACCCAUAUCCCACACAUAGCCACUUAAUGUGGUAUUGGGCUGCUUUACCAUAACUACUUUCGGCCCAUUCAUAACAAUACUUUCGCCCUAAAAAAGAACCUUGUCCUCAAGGUUUAAGUAAGGAAGAGCAUCCUCGACUUCAGUUAGAUUAGUAAGCAACGAAGAAGUAACUUGGUUGGCAGCCUAGAUUAUUGUAGACGUGGCUACAUCAUUCUUGUUUAGCUGCUGACUAACAUGGCAAAGAUAUGUAAAAAGAUGACCUGCAAUGCCCUCAUCGUUACCUGCUUUCUUGACAUCUAUUCCUUCUCUUCCAAAUGACAUAAUCACAUAAUCGGCCAAACUAUAGGCAUUAGUAUUAAAUAAUGGAAUGCUAAGAAUAUCAUCUAGAGUACUAUUAGGAUCAAAAGAACCUCUGGGAGCACUUGAAAUAUGAUACUGACAGUACUCAGUAACACGCUCAGAUCCAUCGAAGCUAAAAUUAUCCAUCUUUAAGUACCAAUGAACGGUUUUAAAAGCUCCCUCCACCAAAUCUCUCCAUUGCCACUGCUGCCUCUCCACCAAAUCUCUCCAUCGCCACUGUUAUCAACCAAUUACAACCAUGUUUUUCUUUAUUUCCAGUAAAAUAUUCACUUCUUAAUUUUAAAUCUUCCCACUCCUGUAGCAUGGCAACAAUUGCAGGUGUUGCGAGUUGUCUAUUACGACUGAAGUUAACAGCAAAAAUACAGCCAUUUGUCUUGGAAUUAAUCCCACUAAUUAUGGCAAAACCAUCGACGUCAAAUUCCUUUGCUAUUUCAACCAACUGAUCAACUUGGGCAGUGAAAUCUAAUAGUAAAGCUGAGAAAGGUGGUUUGGGAAGUGGUUGUGACAACUAAUGCCGACCAGUUUGUACACCCACCUUGCCAUUGGACAUAUCAUUAAACAACUUGCCACUUUCCACAGUACCAUCAAGAACAAAUACACUAGAAUAUAGUGUAAUAGACAAGUAGUUCGAUAUAGCCAAAUGUAUAUCGAAGCUCUCGAACAUAAUGGAUGGAGAAACUGACUCACCAGGAUCAAAUGGAAAAUGCAUAGAUGCAUGCUUGUGCAUCAAUCUGGUUCCUUUCAAAAUCACGGGGUCACUUCUUUCCCAGAGUGAGUCGACUUGUUCAUUGUUAACCAAAUGUUGCCUGGCUCCUUGAAAAUAAAUACCAAACAACUUUUGUGCUUCAUUUACUAUAUAGUUAGGCAAAACUAUGCUUCUCAUCCCUAAUUCUCUCUAAUCUUCUCAUCCCCAUCUACUAUUCUUCUUCUUCUUCAUAUUGUAAUUUCUUCUUCCCGUAUUAAUCAAAGUUAAUUAGUUUCGUUCAGUUUGUGUAUUGAUUGUUGAGUUGAUAAUUCGAGAUCGUUACAUAAGAACUCUUUAGGUUAUGAUCUACUAUGAGGUCAAGAGGACAUAAUUAGAUACAAUAUUACUCUGCAUAACUGUCUUCUGUGGAAAAUCUGAUUAUACAUGAGUUCAUGUUACUGCAGGUCUCAUUGUGAUCAUUUUUGGAACAGUACCUGUAUUGCACAUAAGACUAAUGUCACGAGCAGCAGAACAAUUAUAACAACGACCUCACCAUGAUGAUGACAAUAUCUGUACAUGCACCAUUUGUAUCCAUAGGCACACCCUCAGUUGAACCUAAGUAUUCUAAAUAAUAUUAGUAUGUAAAGAUAAAUUUCUUAUGCGGUGAUCAGAAUGGGAUCUUCUGUCUUCAUGCACAUAUAUGCCUUUUGUCUUGUUCCCUUGUAAUGUUAUUUUACCUCAAAUGCAUUACAAUUUUACAGAACUACAAUUUUUCUAUGCUCAAGAAGUGAGCUUUAUAUAUUUCUUGAAGGAAUUUUGAAG
rnacentral:lncRNA from 1 species